rnacentral:rRNA from 1 species
CGCGUAGGGUGCGAGCGUUGUCCGGAAUUAUUGGGCGUAAAGAGCUCGUAGGCGGUGUGUCGCGUCGGCCGUGAAAACCUGCAGCUUAACUGUGGGCUUGCGGUCGAUACGGGCAUCACUGGAGUUCGGCAGGGGAGACUGGAAUUCCUGGUGUAGCGGUGAAAUGCGCAGAUAUCAGGAGGAACACCGGUGGCGAAGGCGGGUCUCUGGGCCGAAAUUGACGCUGAGGAGCGAAAGCGUGGGGAGCAAACAGG